rnacentral:misc_RNA from 1 species
AACUACGUCAAUAAGGCAGCGG